rnacentral:rRNA from 1 species
GAUGAACGCUAGCGGGAGGCUUAACACAUGCAAGUCGAGGGGCAGCAUAGGGUAGCAAUACUCUGAUGGCGACCGGCAAACGGGUGAGUAACGCGUAUGUAACCUACCCUGUACAGGGGGAUAACCCGGAGAAAUUCGGACUAAUAUCCCAUAACAAUAUCCGGGGGCAUCUUUGGAUAUUUAAAGUUCCGGCGGUACGGGAUGUGCAUGCGUAACAUUAGCUAGUUGGUAAGGUAACGGCUUACCAAGGCUUUGAUGUUUAGGGGUCCUGAGAGGGUGGUCCCCCACACUGGUACUGAGACACGGACCAGACUCCUACGGGAGGCAGCAGUGAGGAAUAUUGGUCAAUGGGCGCAAGCCUGAACCAGCCAUCCCGCGUGCAGGAAGACGGCGCUAUGCGUUGUAAACUGCUUUUCCAGGGAGAGAAACUUGCGCACGUGUUGCGCAAUUGACGGUACCCUGGGAAUAAGCAUCGGCUAACUCCGUGCCAGCAGCCGCAGUAAUAC